rnacentral:rRNA from 1 species
AUGGAAGUUUGGGCUUUAAAAGGAUUUGGUGUUACUCAUAUUUUACAAGAGAUACUUACUUACAAAUCUGACCAUCUUAUAGCUCGCCAAGAAAUACUUAAUGCUACGAUCCGGGGAAAAAGAAUACCUAAUCAUGAGGAUCCUCCAGAAUCUUUUCGAGUGCUCGUUCGAGAACUACGAUCUUUGGCUCUAGAACUAAAUCAUUUCCUUGUAUCUGAAAAGAACUUCCAGGUUAAUAGGGAGGAAGUUUGA